rnacentral:rRNA from 1 species
GACGAACGCUGGCGGCGCGCCUAACACAUGCAAGUCGAACGAGCGAGAGAGAGCUUGCUUUCUCGAGCGAGUGGCGAACGGGUGAGUAACGCGUGAGGAACCUGCCUCAAAGAGGGGGACAACAGUUGGAAACGACUGCUAAUACCGCAUAAGCCCACGGCUCGGCAUCGAGCAGAGGGAAAAGGAGCAAUCCGCUUUGAGAUGGCCUCGCGUCCGAUUAGCUAGUUGGUGAGGUAACGGCCCACCAAGGCAACGAUCGGUAGCCGGACUGAGAGGUUGAACGGCCACAUUGGGACUGAGACACGGCCCAGACUCCUACGGGAGGCAGCAGUGGGGAAUAUUGCACAAUGGGGGAAACUCUGAUGCAGCGACGCCGCGUGGAGGAAGAAGGUCUUCGGAUUGUAAACUCCUGUUGUUGGGGAAGAUAAUGACGGUACCCAACAAGGAAGUGACGGCUAACUACGUGCCAGCAGCCGCGGUAAAACGUAGGUCACAAGCGUUGUCCGGAAUUACUGGGUGUAAAGGGAGCGCAGGCGGGAAGACAAGUUGGAAGUGAAAUCUAUGGGCUCAACCCAUAAACUGCUUUCAAAACUGUUUUUCUUGAGUAGUGCAGAGGUAGGCGGAAUUCCCGGUGUAGCGGUGGAAUGCGUAGAUAUCGGGAGGAACACCAGUGGCGAAGGCGGCCUACUGGGCACCAACUGACGCUGAGGCUCGAAAGUGUGGGUAGCAAACAGGAUUAGAUACCCUGGUAGUCCACACCGUAAACGAUGAUUACUAGGUGUUGGAGGAUUGACCCCUUCAGUGCCGCAGUUAACACAAUAAGUAAUCCACCUGGGGAGUACGACCGCAAGGUUGAAACUCAAAGGAAUUGACGGGGGCCCGCACAAGCAGUGGAGUAUGUGGUUUAAUUCGACGCAACGCGAAGAACCUUACCAAGUCUUGACAUCCCUUGACAGGCAUAGAAAUAUGUUUUCUCUUCGGAGCAAGGAGACAGGUGGUGCAUGGUUGUCGUCAGCUCGUGUCGUGAGAUGUUGGGUUAAGUCCCGCAACGAGCGCAACCCUUAUGGUCAGUUACUACGCAAGAGGACUCUGGCCAGACUGCCGUUGACAAAACGGAGGAAGGUGGGGAUGACGUCAAAUCAUCAUGCCCUUUAUGACUUGGGCUACACACGUACUACAAUGGCGUUAAACAAAGAGAAGCAAGACCGCGAGGUGGAGCAAAACUCAGAAACAACGUCCCAGUUCGGACUGCAGGCUGCAACUCGCCUGCACGAAGUCGGAAUUGCUAGUAAUCGUGGAUCAGCAUGCCACGGUGAAUACGUUCCCGGGCCU